rnacentral:misc_RNA from 1 species
AUAUUCUUAUUGCUUUAUUUUAUUAGGAAUAGCAAACCAUUUAUCCGUAUUUUUUGAAUUAGCGACCUAAUCCUGCGUUGGCCAAAGCUCAAGCAACCGGAAAAGCACGGGAUCGCCGACGGCCAAGGACGUAAAUCACGGGAAAGUCGGGAUGUGGCCGCAAACGCUGGAAAUGUCGCGGGACGAGUGCCGAGGCAUGCUGCGUCGACUGGAACUCGAGUCCUAUUCGCAUGUAGUGAGCGUUUUUCGCGCCCAAGGAGCCCUCAGUGAAACGAAGGCGAAACUGCUGGAGGAGCUGCGCCAGCAGUUCCACAUUAACCAGGAACGCCACAGGGCGGAAGUGCGGAGGGCGGCCAACGACGAGCAGCUCUGCACCAUAGCGGAAAAUGUUUGUGGGCCCAACACCUGGCAGGAGUGGUCGCGCGAGGGACGACGCCUCUAUCCUCUUCUUCCCAGGAUUAGUCCACAAACUGCGCUGAGCAUAGUUGCCAAUGACCUGGCGGCCAAAGCCUGCGAGGAAAACGCCAAAUUGGCUGCUCCGGCCGAAACGGCGGUCUAUUUUGGAGAAGCCCUCGUGGAGCAGGCCUCGCUGAUGAGCCUGAAAUAUCCGCGUGGUGCCAGGACCCAGGACACCGCCAUGGUGAUCAUGUCGGAGCCGUUCAAAGUUCCCGAUCUGCCCAACGAGGUGAAGAAAAUGACGCAGAAGCGCAAGGAAAACGAUAGCGGAAUGGACGGCAAGCCGAACAAGAAGCGGCACAUGCAGCAACCACAUCCGCAGCAGCCGCAUCUGCCGGCUUCGCAGCAGCAGCAGUCACAGCAGCUGAAUCCAAUCUCGAAUCCCGGCAUGGAGGAGGCAGAUCCCGUGCCGCCAGAGAAGCGGAUGACUGCUCGGACGCUACAGCAGCGCUACUUCUACCAGCAGCAGAUGAAGCACAAGCAGCGACUGACCAGCAAACGGAAUCUUGCCAACAGACUGGGUUCACCAUCCGCGCAGUCGGGCAGUCCCUUGGGCGGCAGGAACAUGCCCAGCUCCGGUGUAGACACUUCGACAGCUAAGCGAAGUGCCGCACCUGCCAAGAGCGGCAGACGAGCGCAGAAGCAACUGCAACAGCAGCAGCAACAGAAGUUGCAGCAACACCAGCAACAGAAAGUAUUAAUGCAGUCGCAGGAGACGGUGCCCAAUCACAUGGUGGUACAGCCGCACGUGGAGUAUGUGCUGGAUGAGGCGCUCAAGACGCUGGCGGCAUCCAAUCCUCCCACGCCCGCGUCCACAGCCACUCCUCCGUACACCAUCCUAAACGAGCCGAGGCCACUGGUCACGCUGAAGCCUCUGAAGACCAUUAAACCUAUGAUAUAUGGGCCGCAAAGUGGUAUGCCCUCCGCCGAAAUUGGAUCCCCCACAACGCCAGGCUCUCGCGGAUUCGCCAACUCUCCCAUAGUGUUUAAGGAGAAGCUACAGGCGUCACCCGUGCAGGUGUCCACACAGGGUCAAGGCUCGCCCACCAAGAAGUUUGUGGCGGAGGAACGACAUGCGGAUGCGAUGUCCUCUGCGGUUACUACGCCCACUCCCAUUUCCACCGCGAAUCUUCCAUUGGCGCCGCAGAUAAUCAGUGUUCAGAAGAUCCCAGCUCCGUCGAUGGGCGGCAAGCUGAGAGCAGCCGUGGCCUCGCCCACCAGUUCCGCAAACUCCACGCUCCUGCCACCGGGCGCCAAGACAACGCCCAAGAAGUUCAACAUCCUUGAGGGCGAUGCCAAGCCCAAGACCUUGCCCAGUUCGGCGGUUCGCCUGCUUCCGUACACGGAACCCAUAGGCGGUCCCUUGUCGCCGCUCAAGGACUCCAGGGUCACUCCCUUAAGCAGCGCCUCCACCGUCAACAUCAUCAAGAAUAUACCAGCUAGUAGUUUAAACCACACAUUGAUCACUCCGCUGCCCUCAGCCGGCACCACCAUGCCGGCGAAUCUCUUCAGAGCGAAGGUAACGCCGCCAAUCAAAGGAGCCAGCGGUGCUGCAGGCGGCGCAGCCGUUAUUGGUGCCGCCGGAGCAACAGGAAUCGGUGGAGCAGGGGCUGGGCCUCAGAUACUAGGGAAUAUCAAGCUAACCAGCAGCUCGGGCGGAGCAGCCACUAUUAAACAGGUGCCCAGCAGUGCGCUGCGGAACAUAAAGAUUUGCUCACCCAAUGGGAAGCUAUUCCUGCAGCCGGGUAAAUUGCCAGCCGGCAGCAUUAUUCACAAGUUCAAUAACGCAAGCAGCACUGCGGUGUCGGCGGCGGGAGGAGUUGUGACCACCACCACCACCACUGUGUCGCCCACAAAGCAGCCGGCGAGAGAGCAGAGGAUCAGCAUACAAAAGAUACUCCAGCCGGCGACAGGAAGCGCCAGUAGCGGAAGCAGCAGUCCCACCACCACCACGACGACCAUAUCCGGGUUGACGGCCAGUGCCAAGCAGCCAGGUUUGGGCAGCAAGCCGACCACGCUGACCUUCGCCACUGCGGGCGGUGGUAAGAACAAUCUGGUCUUCCUGCCAGCGAGUGCGGCGAGUGGCAUGCGGGCACUCACCCUGGCCACGAAGCCCAAGUCCAAUGUGCUGGUCAUCGGGGCGAGCACCACGCCAGCCAGUGCCGGGUCAUCUCCCAAUCCCUCAGGCGGCACCAAGCCCAAAGCCAACCAACUCAUCACGGAGGACACGCCCAUCGAUAUUAUAAACAUGCCCAUCAUUGUGGCAGACAACGGCACCGCUGCGGAGCUGAAUCAGGCGUCGGUGAAGAACUCGCCACUGGUCGUGUUCAAUGCCACCGACUGGGAGAUGGAGCUGGAUCAGGCAGCCACCAAGUCUGCCAGCACGACCUCGAAACAGGCUCUGGACGAUGUGAUCAUCGAGGAGGACGAGGACACCGAGGAGGAGGCAGGGGAACGCAGUGAGCAGCCAUCUACAAUGGACCUGAACAAUAGCAUAAUUGAGCUGCACCCGGAGGAUGACAGCGCCAUCGAGUACGUCGACAUGGACCUGGAGCAGCCCAUUGAGAUUGAGAGCACCAGCAACAUAUCGCCAGAGACGGCCACCACCACGCUGAAGGCAGCCAUCGUCUCGACAUCCCCCCAGCAGCAGCAGCAAAAGAAGCAUCCGCCCCUGGAGCAUCCACUGGGCGCUGGAGCGGGAGCAGGAACAGGAAGCAGCACGGGAGCAGCUGUCCAAUCAGCAAUUAAGUUACCCUAAACGCUCCCCAUUUCGAGAUAUUCGAGUGAGAGAACGCACACACACGCAGCAGACCCGGUUUGAAUUAGAUUUAGUUGCCUUGGAGCUAAGUGCAAGAUUAUCGUAAGCAGCUCUACAUGCCUGUUGGCUUAAUCGCUCGCAAUAGUUAAGUUGCCAAAUCACACAACCACCGCUGUUCUAAACAUAGUAUCGUUUAGUGAAAAGUAUACCCUGGAAUUCGUGUUAGUUUUAGUUUAGUUACGCGCCCAUUUCAUCCGCCUGCAAUCUUGGGAGCCCGGAGUCGAUCACCUCCCUCCUGUAAAUAGGGCAGUUGCCUCUGCGGACUACCUUAAUUUGUAUAGCUUGUAAAUAGAUUCCACACUUCGCCCCAAACCCCCUUUCCCCUCCACCACACCCUUUGCCUAGAAUAAUUUCAUCCUAAUUUAGUUGCCUAGACUAGCGCAGAAUUAAGCAAAACAAACAAAAGAAUUCGAGCAGCACGCAGAGAGCGAGGAAAUUGUUUAAAUGUUCAACUUGAAAGAUUCUUAAUUGUAUGAGAUUAUAGACCCUAGUUGACCCAAUCCGAACCCGAACAUGUAAAUAUCUGAUGAAUUUCGAAAUGCAAGCCCCUGCUAUCGCACCCACAUAUAAAUAUACACUUGUAUAGAGACCUAGUUCGGCUAAGGACCACACAUGUUUAAUCUGGAAAGGAAGGAGACCCAUGCCACACACACACACUCACAGAUGAUUAACCAUUAACGAUUUAUAGAUGUUAAGUAUUUUAUGCGUCGGUUUUGUAAAUCCAAAUCUUAAGAGGAACGUUGUAACUUUCGACCAAGGUCCAAAAACAAAACACGGAAAAGGAAGAAGCAUCUAAACAGGGAAUCCCCCUCUACGAGAAGUGAAAAGUGUAAUACAAAAUAUUGUUGAACGAUGCGUGUCGCUGUAAAAUUUUUAGCAUAGAACUUUUAAACGAAAUAAAUUUAAAUGUAACAAAAGGAACUGGUUUUGCUUUGGCCAAAGGGAAACGCCGCCUUCUGUUUUGUCUUCUUUAAUGGUUGUAUAUGUACAAACAUAUUUUGAUAUAAUUUCAUCAAUGCACAAUGCAAUCCUGCCACUUAACAUGUUAACUUAUUGCUGUCGCCAGAGAAUCGAAAAAUAGUUGGAAAAGUACGAGCUUUGUAAAGAGCUUGGUUA